GAAGUCGCUCACUUUGAGUUCCCUUUCUCUCGAAAAAUCACACUCUGAAUUGAUUAGAAGAGAAGAUGAGUUCUUGUUCUACAAAUGCCAGCAGUGGUAGCGUAGAAUCAAAGGGCGAAUUCACAAACACAAAGAACAAAACUUAGCGGACAGAUAGAGGCGUCAGAUCGUUCGUUGCGCUUCAUGUUGUUUUUCUCCUGGAUCACUCUACAAUUUCUUUCUGGAAAAUGGCUCUGAAGAAUCACAGAUAAGAACUGACGCCAUCUUUGGCAGAAUCUUCCCUGAUCCAUCUAAAGCAGAAGAUGGCCUUCACAAGCUGAUCUUGUUGAAGGAUUGUGGAAUUUAUUCUGCAUUAGAACAUAUGUUAGAUGAAGGGGUUUUUGAGAAUUAUUUAAUAACAAGAGAUGAUGGAAACAACGGACAGCAAUUAGUGGGACAGAAAAUAAGAUUAUGGUCGCCGCUUGAUAAUUGCUAUUUCUCAGCGGAUGUGGACGUGUUAGAUCCUCAAAAUAAGAAGCAUAAGGUUUUUGCCACUCUAAAUUCUUAAUUGCUGGAAAAUGGGUAUAUAUCUGUGCUUCAUGCAUAGAUAAGGAAUGGAUUCUCUUAUAAAAUAAAAUGAUAAAAUUUCUAGUAAUGAGAUAUUCUCAUCCGUGGAAAAAACAGGAUAAAAGUUCUGUUCAUCCUGUUAUUAUUAGUGAUUAUGUAAUAAGCCUUUAGAAAGUAUUCUAGAAAAAAGAGUUGCAACUAUGCUUGAUUUGGUUUAAAUAAAGUUUCACAACUAUAAAACA